CGAGAACGCCCGGGCCUAGCCGGGGCAAGUACAGUGGCGGACGGGUGCGUAACGCGUAGAUAACCUGCCCUCAGGCGCGGGACAAUCGCGGGAAACCGCGGCUAAUACCGCACGACGUCCGGACCCCGCAUGGGAGCCGGAUGAAACCUUGGGUUCGCCCAGGGGCCUUUGGAUGGGUCUGCGUCGGAUUAGCUUGUUGGUGAGGUAACGGCUCACCAAGGUAGCGAUCCGUAGCUGGUCUGAGAGGACGAUCAGUCACACUGGGACUGAGACACGGCCCAGACUCCUACGGGAGGCAGCAGUGGGGAAUCUUGCACAAUGGGGUCACCCCUGAUGCAGCCAUGCCGCGUGGAGGAAGACACCCCUAUGGGGCGUAAACUCCUUUUCUGAGAGAAGAAGCCCCUGUAGGUUCAGGGCGUGACGGUAUCUCAGGAAUAAGCACCGGCUAACUCCGUGCCAGCAGCCGCGGUAAUACGGAGGGUGCAAGCGUUGUCCGGAAUCACUGGGCGUAAAGGGUGCGCAGGCGGGGCAGCAAGUCGGAGGUGAAAGCCCGUGGCUCAACCACGGAAGUGCCUUCGAAACUGUUGCUCUUGAGUCCCGGAGAGGUUGCCGGAAUUCGUGGUGUAGCGGUGAAAUGCGUAGAUAUCACGAGGAACACCAGAGGCGAAAGCGGGCAACUGGACGGGUACUGACGCUCAGGCACGAAAGCGCGGGGAGC
rnacentral:rRNA from 1 species